UUAAGUCAAAUUUGUAUGGAGUUGGAAAGAUUGCCUACGUUUGCCGCUAGGGGCGCUGUUCCAACUGCAUACAAAUUUCAGUUA
rfam:Bombyx mori DNA, contig: Bm_scaf29_contig18390, strain: p50T/Dazao, build 2, whole genome shotgun sequence.